AACGACCUGCCGUGUUAGUUAGCUUCUACUUGUUUCGAACCGUGGAUUUAAAAAGGGAGUUCUACAUUAAAGAUUUAACAACAUGCCUAUUUUUUGGACGUUGGAGAAUUUUUUGCGAACACCCACCUACGAGUGUAGGUUCUUGAAACAAUAGGGCAACGGCAUACGCGGGUUCUGA
rnacentral:other from 1 species